GGGCGCUUAGCUCAGCUGGUUUAGAGCACCUGCCUUACAAGUAGGUGGUCGGUGGUUCGAAUCCAUCAGCGCCCAC
rnacentral:tRNA from 1 species